CUCAGGCGUGGUGGUGCACGCCUGUAGUCCCAGCCACUCGGGAGGCUGAGGUGGGAGGAUCGCUUGAGUCCAGGAGUUCUGGGCUGCAGUGCGCUAUGCCAAUCGGGUGUCCGCACUAAGUUCGGCAUCAAUAUGGUGACCUCCCGGGAGCGGGGGACCACCAGGUUGCCUAAGGAGGGGUGAACCGGCCCAGGUGGGAAACGGAGCAGGUCAAAACUCCCGUGCUGAUCAGUAGUGGGAUCGCGCCUGUGAAUAGCCACUGUACUCCAGCCUGGGCAAUAUAGUGAGACCCCGUCUCU
rnacentral:SRP_RNA from 1 species